GGGGUCUUCCGGAGCCUCCGGUCGCGGGUCUGAGAGGACGAGGGCGGGAGCGGCGCGGAAGAAAGAGAGGACUGCGUUUUGGGGCGUUCUGUAAGAGCGGAAAGACGUGUGGAUUGGAGUCAGACUGCACUCACGCCUUAUUUCUGCAAGCAGAACUCACUGUCCUUAGAAACGGCCUUCUGAGGCUCUGUUGGGAGGCUCUAACUGUAUUACAGAGGACACAUUUUUGUUUGUUUUUAUGUGAAACAGUCAGAAGUUGCUUCCAUCACGUGCUUCAUAAGUACACUGGUUUUCAAACUUUUUAAGUUGAGGAACUGUUUUGAUUUUUUCUGAAAUAGAACUUUACUUGGAAGCCCAAGAACAUCCAGUGCAAUGUUUAGUGGAAGUGAUAAUGGCAUUCUUGUCCCAUUCCUCACUUUACUGUGAUACUGCUAACAUUUUAUAAUGAUGACAAUGUUUGCUGUGGGGUUUUGGGAGGCAAAGGGAGAUUUGACAAAGAAGAAGGCAAUGGGACUACUGAAACAAAAUGCUAGGCUGCUGGCUUUGAAGAUCAGACUAGGGACCAAAAAUAAAGGAAUGCAAGCAUUUCAUUCAAGCUCUAAAGGCCAGAAAAGGCAAGAAAAACUUUCAGAAGGGAGAGUGACCAUGAUAAUACCUCAAUUUCAGCCCAGUGAAACUGACUUCAGACUUCUGACCUCCUGAACUGCAGGAGAAUAAAUGUAUGCUUUUUAACCUACCAAGUUUCUGGUAAUUUGUUCUAGCAGCCACAGGAAACUAAUACAGUUUUCAACAAAUAUGUGUUGAAUAAAUAAAUCAAUGAACAGUAGGGAUUCAAUAAAUAUUACAUUAAUUAUAAGAUGCCCAGAUUGGUUCUUUGAAUGUGAGAGAAACAUCAUUCUUUAAAUGUAUCUGCAAAGUAAAAGCUAAUUGCAUUAAUAUAAACUGAGUUCUUAUUUACCAACUUUUAUUCUGGUUGUUUUUGUUUUGGUUUGUUGAGAUGGGCAAAUAUGUUAGCUUGAUAAUAAUUGGUUUUAUUUGAUUAUGCAUUUAUUCACAAUGUUGAGGGGUGCCUACUUUCAGAAUACAUAUAUUCAUCA